AGUGAGCGCUGGCGGUAGGCCUAACACAUGCAAGUCGAACGGCAGCACAGUAAGAGCUUGCUCUUACGGGUGGCGAGUGGCGGACGGGUGAGGAAUACAUCGGAAUCUACUUUUUCGUGGGGAUAACGUAGGGAAACUUACGCUAAUACCGCAUACGACCUACGGGUGAAAGCAGGGGAUCUUCGGACCUUGCGCGAUUGAAUGAGCCGAUGUCGGAUUAGCUAGUUGGCGGGGUAAAGGCCCACCAAGGCGACGAUCCGUAGCUGGUCUGAGAGGAUGAUCAGCCACACUGGAACUGAGACACGGUCCAGACUCCUACGGGAGGCAGCAGUGGGGAAUAUUGGACAAUGGGCGCAAGCCUGAUCCAGCCAUACCGCGUGGGUGAAGAAGGCCUUCGGGUUGUAAAGCCCUUUUGUUGGGAAAGAAAAGCAGCAGGUUAAUACCCCGCUGUUCUGACGGUACCCAAAGAAUAAGCACCGGCUAACUUCGU
rnacentral:rRNA from 1 species